rnacentral:rRNA from 1 species
GACGAACGCUGGCGGCGUGCUUAACACAUGCAAGUCGAACGGAAAGGCCUGCUUUCCCUUGUGGAUUGCGGGUACUCGAGUGGCGAACGGGUGAGUAACACGUGAGUGAUCUGCCCCCAACUUGGGUAUAAGCCUGGGAAACUGGGUCUAAUUCCCGAUAGGACUGCAGGGUGGUGCCUGCGGUGGAAAACGAUUUUCUAGUGGUUGGGGAUGAGCUCGCGGCCUAUCAGCUUGUUGGUGGGGUAAUGGCCUACCAAGGCGGCGACGGGUAGCCGGCCUGAGAGGGUGGACGGCCACAUUGGGACUGAGAUACGGCCCAGACUCCUACGGGAGGCAGCAGUGGGGAAUAUUGCACAAUGGGCGGAAGCCUGAUGCAGCGACGCCGCGGGGGGGAUGACGGCCUUCGGGUUGUAAACUCCUUUCGACCGCGAGGAAGCCACCUGGCUGGAAGGGUGGUGACGGUAGUGGUAGAAGAAGCACCGGCUAACUACGUG